rnacentral:rRNA from 1 species
AUUGAACGCUGGCGGCAGGCUUAACACAUGCAAGCCGAGCGGAGAUGAGGUGCUUGCACCUUAUCUUAGCGGCGGACGGGUGAGUAAUGCUUAGGAAUCUGCCAUUUAGUGGGGGACAACAUUCCGAAAGGAAUGCUAAUACCGCAUACGUCCUACGGGAGAAAGCAGGGGAUCUUCGGACCUUGCGAUAAAUGAUGAGCCUAGGUCGGAUUAGCUAGUUGGUGGGGUAAAGGCCUACCAAGGCGCCGAUCUGUAGCGGGUCUGAGAGGAUGAUCCGCCACACUGGGACUGAGACACGGCCCAGACUCCUACGGGAGGCAGCAGUGGGGAAUAUUGGACAAUGGGCGGAAGCCUGAUCCAGCCAUGCCGCGUGUGUGAAGAAGGCCUUUUGGUUGUAAAGCACUUUAAGCGGGGAGGAGGCUACUAGUACUAAUACUACUGGAUAGUGGACGUUACUCGCAGAAUAAGCACCGGCUAACUCUGUGCCAGCCGCCGCAGUAAUAC